GACUGUGGCCCUGCAGACUCUGCGUCACCGCUACAAUUUAACUUCUGUCCGUAAUUAGUGAGAAACAGGAUCCGGGCUGCAGGCCAACUCUCACUGAACAUAAAGAAACUCAAAAGCUCCUGAUGUCGCAGAUCUUUUUAAUGGCGUCUGGGCCUCAAACCCUCGCUCCAGCCUCUCUGCAGCCGUGUGCACCUGAUGUGGAAACACAAAGCCUGCUGGGAGUUUUGACACGUGGGGAUCAAGGCGGCAGGCUGAGGCAGCAGGCACUGUUACAUUAUGGGAGUGUUAUGCAAGAGCAGAUGGGCUGUGACUGACUCAUGGAUUUAUGGGCUGUGGGCUUCUUCUGCAAACACAUCCAGGGUACGACCCGAGAGCUGCGGAACAAACACAGGAGUCAGGAGGUGGAUAAAUAAAUAAGUGAAUGAAUGAAUGAAUGAGUAAGUGAAUGAAUGAGUGAUUUUCAGCACCAAUGCUUAGAUGUAUUCCAGCAGAGACUGGAGGGUUGCAGGUAUUAAUCUUCUCCAGAUGUCCUUAAGCAAGGCAUUAAUCCUCUACAAACCCUCCGGGGCACAGCAUUGUGGUUGACCUCUGACCUCUCUGAAGGAACGUAAAUCUCAUUUUUUAGACAAAACUGCCUCCUUCAAAAGAUGAAGGAUCUCUUCUCUUAAUAAACCUAGUUCCCAAACCCAGAGCCUUACACAGACUACAACUAGUGGUGCGUUCAGGUGCUCCUCCUUAAUUUAUAAUUAGCCUCAAUUCUCAAUACUCAAUAAGGAUAGAAAUGUGUCCAUAGCAUCAAAAACCGCCAUGGUUACUUAUUCUCAGGUAGUUCUUGAUUUAAUUCAUAA